rnacentral:rRNA from 1 species
UACACACCGCCCGUCACACCAUGGGAGUGGGUUUCACCAGAAGCCGGUCGCCUAACCGCAAGGAGGGCGCCGACCACGAUGAGAUUCGUGACUGGGGUG